rnacentral:rRNA from 1 species
AUUGAACGCUGGCGGCAGGCCUAACACAUGCAAGUCGAACGGUAACAGGAAGAUGCUUGCUUCUUUGCUGACGAGUGGCGGACGGGUGAGUAAUGUCUGUGAAACUGCCUGAUGGAGGGGGAUAACUACUGGAAACGGUAGCUAAUACCGCAUAACGUCGCAAGACCAAAGAGGGGGACCUUCGGGCCUCUUGCCAUCGGAUGUGCCCAGAUGGGAUUAGCUAGUAGGUGGGGUAACGGCUCACCUAGGCGACGAUCCCUAGCUGGUCUGAGAGGAUGACCAGCCACACUGGAACUGAGACACGGUCCAGACUCCUACGGGAGGCAGCAGUGGGGAAUAUUGCACAAUGGGCGCAAGCCUGAUGCAGCCAUGCCGCGUGUAUGAAGAAGGCCUUCGGGUUGUAAAGUACUUUCAGCGGGGAGGAAGGGAGUAAAGUUAAUACCUUUGCUCAUUGACGUUACCCGCAGAAGAAGCACCGGCUAACUCCGUG